rnacentral:lncRNA from 1 species
AUUGAUCAUUGAAAAAUCAAUUGAAAAUUGUGGAAUAAAUGAAUCCUAAUUUCUUUCGUGUCAACUGAAACCCCAAAUCGAGUUGUUUGCAAAUUUUGCCUUUUGCUUAUUUCUAAGUAGGGAGCAUUAUUGAAUAAAUUUGGUUUUGGAGUCUAAAGUUGGGGAGAGUAAAGUGAAAAGUUGAUUAGAAACGUGGAAAAGUGAGUUUUCAUGAAAGGGUGAAUAUUUGAAAAGAAACAAGAAAAAGAAAUCACCCUUGAAACCAUAGAGCAAAGAAAAAAGAAAAGAAAGAAAAAAAAAGCAAAGAAAAUGCUCAUGGUUGUGUGGAUGUAAAAAGAAAAAGAAAAAGAUAGGGAUCAAAGAAAGGGAAAUUGUGUAGAGUUGAAUGUUUGGGAAUGCUCCCUUAGGAUAGACAACUUUGUUGAAUUCUCUUAAUCAUAUCCUUUCUUGUAACCUAAGCCACAUUACAACCUUUGAAAGACC